UUUUUGACGAAAGCUCUCACCUCGCCAACGAUCGAGUGGGGCGUCUUCGAGGCAGGAUUCUCAGAAGCGAUAAGCUCCU
rnacentral:SRP_RNA from 2 species